rnacentral:rRNA from 1 species
UACGGGGGGGGCAAGCGUUGUUCGGAAUUACUGGGCGUAAAGGGUUCGUAGGUGGCCAACUAAGUCAGACGUGAAAUCCCUCAGCUUAACUGGGGAACUGCGUCUGAGACUGGAUGGCUUGAGUGCAGGAGAGGAACGCGGAAUUCCAGGUGUAGCGGUGAAAUGCGUAGAUAUCUGGAGGAACACCGGUGGCGAAGGCGGUUCUCUGGGCAUUACCUGACGCUGAGGAGCGAAAGUGUGGGGAGCGAACAGG